AUACGGAGGAUCCGAGCGUUAUCCGGAUUUAUUGGGUUUAAAGGGAGCGUAGGUGGAUUGUUAAGUCAGCUGUGAAAGUUUGCGGCUCAACCGUAAAAUUGCAGUUGAUACUGGUCGUCUUGAGUGCAGUAGAGGUAGGCGGAAUUCGUGGUGUAGCGGUGAAAUGCUUAGAUAUCACGAAGAACACCGAUUGCGAAGGCAGCUUACUGGACUGUAACUGACGCUGAUGCUCGAAAGUGUGGGUAUCAAACAGGAUUAGAUACCCUGGUAGUCCACACAGUAAACGAUGAAUACUCGCUGUUUGCGAUAUACGGCAAGCGGCCAAGCGAAAGCAUUAAGUAUUCCACCUGGGGAGUACGCCGGCAACGGUGAAACUCAAAUGAAUUGGCGGGG
rnacentral:rRNA from 1 species